AGUCGGGAAUUUUGCGCAAUGGACGAAAGUCUGACGCAGCAACGCCGCGUGAGGGAUGAAGGCCUUCGGGUUGUAAACCUCUUUUGUCAGGGACGAUGAUGACGGUACCUGACGAAUAAGCCACGGCUAACUACGUGCCAGCAGCCGCGGUAAUACGUAGGUGGCAAGCGUUGUCCGGAUUUACUGGGCGUAAAGAGCGCGCAGGCGGUCGUUCAAGUCGCGUGUGAAAGCCCCCGGCUCAACUGGGGAGGGUCACGCGAUACUGAUCGACUCGAAGGCAGGAGAGGGUAGUGGAAUUCCCGGUGUAGUGGUGAAAUGCGUAGAUAUCGGGAGGAACACCAGUGGCGAAGGCGACUACCUGGCCUGUUCUUGACGCUGAGGCGCGAAAGCUAGGGGAGCAAA
rnacentral:rRNA from 1 species